UAUAAUUCUAUGACGGGGAAGAAAACGGAUAGCGCUGUUUAGAGAGCCGGGAUCAGGUGCAAGCCCAGCCAGCGGAAGCCGUUCGAGCCGCCCCCGAGAUGCAGGCUGAACAACAGUAAGCCUUGCCGGUUCUUCACCGUUACCGAAGUCCGAGUGGGUCUCCUGGCAUUUAUGCGCGAGGCCAAUGAGGGUGGUACCACGGGUUAUUUUAACCCCGUCCCUUUU
rnacentral:ncRNA from 1 species